GACGUAGGGCGCGAGCGUUGUCCGGAUUUAUUGGGCGUAAAGAGCUCGUAGGCGGUUUGUCGCGUCGAAUGUGAAAACUCGGGGCUCAACUCCGAGCUUGCAUUCGAUACGGGCAGGCUAGAGUUCGGUAGGGGAGACUGGAAUUCCUGGUGUAGCGGUGAAAUGCGCAGAUAUCAGGAGGAACACCGGUGGCGAAGGCGGGUCUCUGGGCCGAUACUGACGCUGAGGAGCGAAAGCGUGGGGAGCGAACAGG
rnacentral:rRNA from 1 species